CAUGCACCGGUGGGGUCCCUCGGCCUGGACUGUGCCCUCUCGCAAUCCAGGACCCCUCAGGAGAUGUCAGACUGCUGGUUUUGGCCUGAUCCUCGCAGGCCAGGCCGAGGGACCCCACUGGUGCACG
rnacentral:pre_miRNA from 1 species